GAAAUGCGAUAAGUAGUGUGAAUUGCAGAAUUCAGUGAAUCAUCGAAUCUUUGAACGCACAUUGCGCCCUUUGGUAUUCCUUAGGGCAUGCCUGUUCGAGCGUCAUUUGUACCCUCAAGCUCUGCUUGGUGUUGGGUGUUUGUCCCCGUCUCCGCGCGUGGACUCGCCCCAAAGUGAUUCGCAGCCGGCGUACUGGUCCCGGAGCGCAGCACAUGUCGCGCAAACGAGUGCCUUGGUACGGCGGCGUCCAUAAGCCCCUCUCUCACGCUCUUGACCUCGGAUCAGGUAGGGAUACCCGCUGAACUUAAGC
rnacentral:misc_RNA from 1 species